AAUUUCUAAAUUCCCGCUUUAUUUUUCAUUUCUUUCUCAAUACAAUUUAGAGAAAAGAAACCCUAUUUUGUCAAACCCCUUUCAUCUUUCUCUCACCUUUUCUGAUCACCUUCUUCUCCCAAAAAUAAUCUUCAGCCGCAACCUCUCUCAACCUCUCACACUCUUACAUUCAGGAAGAGGGAAUGAAGGGUAUUAUGGUCAUCUUCCUGCAGUUGCAAUCAGCGAUGGGUAGCAUUUUAAUUGUAAAACUUGCAGGUUUUUCUUCUUAUCUCCUUCUCCAAUCAGUCAACAACGAACAAAAGGUACUUACUUAUUUCUAUAUCCUUCCAAUUCUUUGGUUCUGUUUAUUAGGCGCUGGGGGAUUUUCAGGUUUGUUAUUCAAUGUGUUUUGUUUUUCAAUUUUAUUUUAUUUUAACAAAGCAAUAAGUAGUCAUUAAGUUAUACAUUAUACAAAGAAAUUGUUGGUCUACUUCUACUUUUGCAGAUAAAUAGUAAUAAUCUGUUUUUUCUUUUUUGAAGAAAGAAAUAGUGAUAUUCUGAUUAGAGAAAGUUUGGCCUUAGCAUUUGUCAUAUUGCAUAUUGUAAAACUUUAACUUGACACAUAUGGUCAUGUCAUCGACCCAAAACACUUGUAUCGAGAAGAGUGGGAAAAAAUUUUUUUGGCCCAAAUUACGGUGAUUUAUGUUAAGAAAGUAACCCUCUGCUGCUCUUACGCCUCUCUAACGUUUCCGUCAUUUGAGUAUUUCCCGGAUAAGGAUUUCAAGGGUGAAUCUUUCUUUUCCAUGGUUUUUUUUUUCAGUUCAAUGGUUUUUUUUUUUCGUGUUUUGGGUUUGUAUAUAUUAUGCAGAAGAGCUUGUUUGUUUUAAUUAAUACAAGUUAAAUUAAAUGUUUGUUUUGGUAUAUUGGGUUUGUAUUAUGCUUAGAGGAGUGAAUUGAGCAAUUUAUAAUCUUGUUUCUUAAUAAUAUGUUAAAAAAACUUAAAAUCGACACCUUCUUUUGCAGAAUAUAAGUAGUACCAUUUGAAAAUCUUUGAUUACUGAUAUAUUAAUUGUAAAAUUGUUAAUGGUUGUGGGUUUUGAUUUUGGUAUGUAUAAACUAGGCAUUUGCCGUGUUAAGAUAUGGAAAUUGUAUUAGAUAUUCUUUUUUGAAAAAUCUAAUUGUUGUUUUGAUUUGGUAUAUAAUUUGUUGGUUUCAAUAGUAAAGGGUAUGGCUUAAUGUCAAAGCAGUAGAAUAAUUGUUAAGAGGUUGAGGUCGACAAGCCUUUAGGCCUCACUUUCGGUCAAAAGCAAGGUGGUCUCACUCAGGCAAGUAAAUCAUUAUUUCUCUCUGCUUUCUAUUUACUUAUGUUUAUCAGUAAAACUAUGGAAAAAAAAAGAAGUAGAAAGAAAAUCUAGGAAGCUUUGUUCCCAUUUUUGGUCAAUUUCCUUCUGCAAGCAAGUCUUAUAGUUGGUGUUGUGCAUUGACUUGGGUCUUAAUAUGUUUGAGUGAUUCAUAUAAUACCAACUAGUUUCAAUGGUAUUUGUUGACAAACUGUGGCUGCAUUCAAGGCUGGCAAUUUUCUUUGAAAGUUUCAAGUUUGUAUCAAAUAAUAUAUUAGUUUUUCUUUUUGGGCCUCGUUUUUUUAGUAUAAAUAAUUAUUAAAAGUUAAAGCCUUAGGCAAUGCUAGAUAAUAUAACAGAACAAGCAUAAUGGAUAUUCUUUGGCUGCCUUCAAUGAUCACAUGCUUUCCAUGGAACAAAUCCUACAUAUUAUAUGAUUAGCCAAUUAACUUUAUGGUUUUUGUACGUGAUAUGCGGCAUAGUGAGGACACAGAUGAAAGAGUUCCAUGUUACAUUAAGACGAUGGUACUACCAAAAGUAGGUAACUUUUUAUUUAUUAGCUAGAAUGGUAAAAAAAAAGAGAGAAAAGUGCUUAAGUAGGAACUCCUACAUAUUAUAGUACCACUAAUUUUAAGUUUGAUCACAUCCUAUAAAUAUAUUGAUAUGCUCAUAUAGUACUAUUUGUAUAUUUAUAUGCUCAUAUAAUGCUAUUUAUUUUCUAUAUCUUUUUUCUAUACUAAUGCUUUGAUUUGUUAGAAUAUAUUAUAAGAAAUAUAAUAUAUAUAUAUGUAUAAGUAAUAUAUGCCAAGAUACAAAUGUCAAUUAUUUUAAUCCUCUUAUUUUACAUUUAUCUUAUUUCUCUAACUUCUUGUGUUAUUUCAGGGCAUAGAUUGUUAAUAUAAACAUUGUGCGAUUAUUAGGCUUAACUUGUGAAUAUAGACACCAAAGGGAUUUGAAGGAUCUUUUGCAGAAGUUGCAUCCUCGGCCAAGAUUGGUACAACAAAGAAUGAUGUUGGCGCCUAUCAGAGUGCCUGUGGUGUCAUGAAGUCCGUUGCUCUGCUUUUUAUGGUUGGAGUUGGGUAUUUAUACUAUGAGUAAUAUAUGUAAAUUUUCAUAUAUCUAAGUGUCUAUGUUUGUGUUAUAUAUAUAUAUUGAAUAUUGUAAAAUUGUAUAGAUUUAAGUUUGAUUUUUCACAUAUCUAAAUAUUGUAAAUUUAUUGAUGAUGUUAAGUGUAUUUUAUUUAUUUGUGACUUUAUUAAUUUUGAUAUUGGUUCUAUUUUAUUUGGUGCUCGAUUUCUAUAGUGUGAGGGUUCUAUAAGUUAAUAUGAAAAAAUACAUGUUUAUAUGGAAAAAAAAAAUAGAAUACUACAAGUCGGUUGGACAACCGACUUACUAUGUUGUUCACCAUAAGUCAGUUGGACAACCGACUUGCCAUGUUAUACAUCAUAGGACGGUUGUACAACUGAUCUACCAUGUUGUACACCAUAAGUCAGUUGGACAACCGACUUACCAUGUUGUACACUAUAGGUCGGUUGUACAACUGAUUUACCAUGUUGUACACCAUAAGUCGGUUUGGCGCCAACCGACGUACCAUGUGUUUACAUGGUAAGUCAUUGCAUGGGAGGUCGGUUCCAAACUGACUUAUGAACGUUUAUAAGUCGGUUUUUAACCGACUUCUUAUGCAAUUUUUUUAGUAGUGCAUCAAUAUUGUGUUGAUAGGUGACAACUCCAAGUUCGUCAUGACUGAGGAAUCCCCGAAAGUUCCAGCUGAAGGAGCUACCAAGUCUGUGAGGGACAAGUAUGAGUGUUGGCAGUCGACUAACAACAAGGCACAGUACUACAUGUUGACUAGUAUGGUCGACACUCUCAAGAAAAAGAUGGAGAAUGUUGAGAUAGCCUAUGAAAUCAUGGAUCAGCUCCAAGACAUGCUUGGUGCCAAGAGAGCGCAGACUCGUUUUGAGGCCACCAAGAAAUAUGCCAAUGCUCGAAUGGCACCUUCUCAACAUGUUCGUGAUCACCUGGUCAAGAUGACAAACUACUUUUAGGAAGCUGAACUGCACGGAGCCAUAAUAGAUGGGGAAACUCAAGUUGGCUUAAUCCUCAACAGUUUUUCUCCAGCUUUCUUUCCAUUCACCACCAACUAUGUGUUGAACAAACUCAACUAUGAUCUGACGCAGCUCAUGAAUGAGCUUCAGAAUUUUGAGUCUAUCAUGGGUGGACCUAGUAAGGGAGGAGAAAAGAAAAAAACUACUACUACUUUUGCUGAUCUAGCUAACGUUGAAGCUUACCAAGCUUCGUCUUCAAAAGCUGGAAACAAGAGGAAAGGUGGGCAAAACAACAACCCCAAGCCUACAAAGGCUGCAAAGGCAAGUGCACAACCAAGUGCACAGAUGCCUAAGGGGAAAAACAAGAAACAUAAGAAAGGUAAAGGUAAAUGUUUUCACUGGAAAGAGAAGGGGCAUUGGAAACAAGAUUGUCCCAAGUUUCUAGCAAAUAAAAACAAAGCUUCUUGAAUCGUGGGAGGAAGUGAACAAAGGCGGCUUAAAGCUUAGAGUUGGGAACGAAGCGUUCGUUGCGGUCCAAGCUAGAGGAAGAGCUAGUCUGAAGUUUGGAAAUAAAUUUUUAGUUUUAAAAGAUGUAUUUUUUAUUCCGGAUUUUAGUAGAAAUUUAAUUUCAGUUUCCAUGUUGCAAUUAGAACGAUUUGUUAUGACUUUCACAAGUUUUAAUAUAUUUAUUUCUUUCAAUGGAUCACAAUUGUGCAUUGCAUGUUUGGAAAACAGGCUUUA